CCGUGUCCUCCAGACCCUUCACCAUCUUCAUAGCCCUCCUCUGGACACUCUCUAAUCACUUUAUGUCCUUCUUACAGUGUGGCACCCAAAAUCGGACGCAGUGCUGGAGCUCUGCAGUGUGUCUCAGCCUCUUGCCAUGAGACCUGAGAAGGCAGCCAGUGUCACCUUAGCUGUUACAUCGGGAGAGGACACCCUGGAGUACCAACCUCAGCUCCUGCUGUAAAAACUGGAAAAUCAGCUGGAGCCUGGAAGCCUGCCUGGGAGCACAGCAGGGGAGGACGGCAUGAGAGGCAAGGAGCAAUGGCAGCCUGCUGGGGCAGAGGUGGAGCACUGAACUGGCCCUGGCAGAUGAGGAGAUCUGUGCUCUUUUCUUCUCCAAAGCACCUGAACUCCAGGACACGCUGGGUGUGCGAGUUGACUCCAGCAAGCCCGAGGCAGUUUCAAUUGAUGCAACUGCUGUUUGCUCAGCAGCUGAGAGGCCUAGCUCCCUCUGAUCUUGGCUGUGCACAGAAAGCAGCUCCUUCUGUAGCUGUGUCCAGAUUCAGGUGGGCACUCGCACAAUGCCAGGUGCGGGCGCAUUCGGUGUUUUUCAAGCAGGGAUUGAGAAUGAGCAUCUGUGGUCCCUGCAGAAGAAGAAAUGAUUAGUAUUCAAAUGUCAGAGUGAGCAGAAGGAGGGAACAUGCCUUUUGUGCUCUGGAUAUGUGAUGAUGACCCACCUCUACUAUGGAGUGACCAUACCAAGGAUGUGCUGAUGUGCCUGCUCUGUACUGAUCAUGCAGCUGGCACGGCCAGCUCGACUCAUUGAUCGAAAAGGCAAAGAGGAGGCUUCUCGUCCUCCCAUCUUCUGGUUGGAGGCUGUGGCACUGGAAGCACCGCACCGUGGCACCAGCACUCAGCGCGCGCUUAUUGAUGGUAAAGAGCGGAGAGAGGCAUCUGGGGGACAGAGUGGGGCGGGUCUCGGUGCCGACGGUCCUGGUGCUGGCUGCUGGCAGCCCGGCCGGGCUUUGCUGGGACCGAGUGCCGCGCAGGACGCGGUGCGGUGCGGUGCGGUGCGGUGCGGUGCGGGUGCCCGCCGCGCGGUGUCACUGCCGGUCAAGGCAGCGCAGGGUCGGCCCCGGGGCUUCAGGCACCGCCAGGAGGGAGACCCAGGAAGGUGAAUUGUUUCGGGUCCCUGCGGGUGCCAGGUCCUUUUCUACGGGCACGGGAAGGCUGAUUUUUGCAGAAUUUUGUCCUGCGUUUCCCUCUCCGACAGCAAGAGCAUGUAACUACACUGGGAGGAGCUGCUGACUCCCCCGAGGGCAGAGAGGCUUUGCAGAGAGAUCUUGACAAAUCGGAGGGCUGGGCAAUCACCAACUGCAUAAAGGUCAACAAGAGCAGUGCUGGAUUCUGCACCUGCGAUGGGGCAGCCCUGGAUGGCAGUACAGGCUGGGGAGCAAGAGCCUGGAGGGCAGCCCCACAGGCAGAGAUCUGUGGGUUCUGGCUGACAGCAAGUUGAACAUGAGCCAGCAGUGUGCCCUGGCAGCCCAAAGGGCCAAGUAUGCCAUGGGGUGCCCCAGGCCCAGCGCUGCCAGCGGGUGAAGGGAGAGAUUGUCCCACUCUGCUCUGCACUGUGUAGCCUCACCUCCAGCACUGGGUGUGGGUUUGGGUGAUACAGUGUAAGGGCAUAAAGCUAUUAAAGAGCAUCCGAAGGAGGGCUACAAAGGUGGUGGAGGGCCUGGAGGGCAAGGUGUGUGAGGAGCUGCUGAGAUCCCUGGGUUUGUUCACUCAGAGCAGAGGAGGCUGAAGGGAGGCCUCAUGGCAGCCUGCAGCCUCAUGGUGGUAAGGUUCAACAUCUACUUCCAGACCACCAGUAUCCUCCUCUGACAUUGUGGGUCGACUUAAUAAAAUAGGAGGCAUUACUUUUGGAACAGCCCUUGAAAGGUAAGCUGGCAGGCAAGAGUUUCAUACUGCACAGAAGGUUCCAGUACAGCUCGCUCACCCAGAGAAACACUGAAAGGAAAAGCCCAGAACUUCUUGAGCUUGCCCCUGGGCCUGCCACCAUCCUGCCUUGCAGUGUCACCACAACAGUGCUGUGACACCCCAGGAGAACAUUUCCUUCUGCUGAUGCUGGGCUGUAACAUCCCCUGGCACCAUUGCCAGGCAGCAGGGAGCCUCUACCAACCUGUGGCUUUUCUUCAUCCACUGGUGCUCCUUCUUGCAGGGGUGCUGCACAGUCACAGGAGCAGCCUCAGAUGCAGGUGGGCUUCUCAUCAAGUGAUGUGAGCCACAGCACUGCGGGUUGCUCUUGCUGCUUCUGUGGAAGGUCUCGUAACGUGUUGUUACCGUCCGUGCCACUGCUGGAAUUACAGAAUUCUGUCACAGCCUCGCCUUUUUGUUUAAAAAUACAUUCUGUCACUCAUCUUUCUAGAAGGAAGCCUCCCAACGUAACUGGAAUGCACCCAAAAGGCUGAAAAUCCAAAGAGAAAUUAAAAUAUCCCACAUUUAAUUUUAUUUUAAAUCUGA